rnacentral:rRNA from 1 species
UGAAUACGAGAUGCUACGGCGUCGAAGCAGUGUAUGUCAGACUUCCAAGAAAAGCUCGCAAUGUCAUAAAUAAAGAAUGCCUGUACCAUAACCGACACAGGUGGGUAGGUAGAGUAUACUAAGGGGCGCGAGAUAACUCUCUCUAAGGAACUCGGCAAAAUAACUCCGUAACUUCGGGAGAAGGAGUGCCUUCUUGAAGAAGGUUGCAAUAACAAGAUCCAAGCAACUGUUUAUCAAAAACACAGGUCUCCGCUAAGUCGAAAGACGAUGUAUGGGGGCUGACGCCUGCCCAGUGCCAGAAGGUUAAAGAAGCUGGUUAGCAAUAGCGAAGCUGGUGACUGAAGCCCUGGUGAACGGCGGCCGUAACGAUAACGGUCCUAAGGUAGCGAAAUUCCUUGUCGGGUAAGUUCCGACCCGCACGAAAGGCGUAAUGAUUUGGAUACUGUCUCGGAGAGGGACUCGGUGAAAUAGACUUGUCUGUGAAGAUGCGGACUACCUGCACCAGGACAGAAAGACCCUAUGAAGCUUUACUGUAACUUGAAAUUGAAAUUGGACUUUAUUUGCGCAGUAUAGGUGGAAGGCGUUGAGAUUACUCUUGCGGGAUUAGUGGAGCCAUCAGUGAGAUACCACUCCUAUAAUGUUAGAUUUCUAACUUUGGAUCAUAAUCUGGUCAAAGAACAGUUUCAGGCGGGCAGUUUGACUGGGGCGGUCGCCUCCCAAAUGGUAACGGAGGCGUACAAAGGUUUCCUCUGAACGGGUAGAAAUCGUAUCUAGAGUGUAAAGGCAUAAGGAAGCUUGACUGUGAGACCUACAAGUCGAGCAGGGACGAAAGUCGGUCUUAGUGAUCUGACGGUGCUGAGUGGAAAGGCCGUCACUCAACGGAUAAAAGUUACUCUAGGGAUAACAGGCUGAUCUCCCCCAAGAGUUCACAUCGACGGGGAGGUUUGGCACCUCGAUGUCGGCUCAUCGCAUCCUGGGGCGGUAGUACGUCCCAAGGGUUGGGCUGUUCGCCCAUGAAAGCGGUACGCGAGCUGGGUUCAGAACGUCGUGAGACAGUUCGGUCCAUAUCCGGUGUAGGCGUUAGAAUAUUGAGAGGAGCCUUCUUUAGUACGAGAGGACCGAGAAGGACAUACCUCUGGUGUACCAGUUAUCGUGCCAACGGUAAACGCUGGGUAGCUAUGUAUGGAGAGGAUAACCGCUGAAAGCAUCUAAGUGGGAAGCCCACCUCAAGAUGAGUAUUCUCAC